AAGUACAUCACAAUCACUUGCCAACCACGUCAAGUGAGUAGCUUGCCAAGUGACCAGGAAUGUAAGGAUACAGAAAAGUUAAAAGAACUGAACCCCUAAGAGGACCCCAACAACAGAUUGCAGUUGGACCACUAUCUUCUGAGAAGAACCAACAUGGAGAUGGCCUAAGCCAAGAUUCCGAUGAAGGCAUGGUUUUUCAAAGGAUCUUCUAAGAUUUGUGCUUUUGGCUUCAGAUACAGACAGGAAGCUGUCAGAAAACUGAUGAUGUGGCAGGUGGCAGCCACCAGAAGAUUCAUCCUGUUUCUAGAAUGUCUUCACAACACACCAAACCUCCCUGUUCCCUGAGAUAUAACAGUAUUGAAGAAUAUUACACAGACUUAGUUGAUAAAGCAGUGGCAGGGUUUGGGAGGACUGACUCCAAUUUUGAAAGAAGUUUACUACUAAAAUGCUACCUGCAUGCUACAGAAAAAUCUUUUGUGAAAGGAAGAGUCAAUUGAUGCGGCGAACUUCAUUGUUGUCUUAAAGAAAUUGCCACAGCCACCCUAACCUUCAGCCACCACCACCCUGAUAAGUCAGCAGCCAUCAACACUGAGGCAAGACCUCCACCAGCAAAAAGAUUAUGACUCACUGAAGGCUCAAAUGAGAGUUAGCAUUUUUUUUAGUAAUAAAGUAUUUCUUAAUUCAG